rnacentral:lncRNA from 1 species
AUGAUGAGAAAUGACUUUAUAGCCAAGAUGCCUUCUUGGAAUAUGAGAAUGAGGCAAGCCUACAAUGUGGGGAAGAAUCCAGGUGAAGGCGAUGGUGUGGGAGAGUGGACAAAGCUUGGCUGUCUCCUAGGAAAUGGUACGUCAACUCUGCUUGGGACAUCUGCACAUUCCCACCUCCUUAUUACAUAUAUUGAGGCAAAUUCUUCCAGGUCUUCUUUGAGACUCAUCUCUUCUCAUCCACAUAAGGGCUUGUCAACAGUCUUCAUGCUUUACCUUCCUGGGGAUUUUCAAAUGUCUGUUGCUGAAGCCCCCCCCCCCCCACCAGUCAUCUAGUCCUGAAUCUGUGUUGUAAUAAUUAAUGCAGAGUCUUUCUGUAGAGCUCAUCCAGACUUAAAACUCAAAAUCCUGUUCUGGCCUUCUAAGUGCUGGGAUUGCAGGUAUGUACCACCAUACUCGGCUCCAAACCUAGACUCUUGGCCACUCAGGUCCCUGCACACAAACACUCUCCCUGGUGUCCUUUUAUAUGCUUUACAAUUACUUCACACUUUACAUGUCCUUGAUUGUAUAGUCACUCAAAUACCUUCUUCUCCAUCUGUAAUAACUGUUGGCAGGGCAUACACAGUCUUAUUCUAUAGGGUUAAACUCUGGUGAGACUUCUGCUGAAGUCUUUAUAUAACCUUCAAAUUUCUUUGAGCUGUGUUUGCUUCUUUUUAGAACUGAUGGCAAUAAUUGUAGGUGCCACUGGCAUGUAGCCCAUUGGAGAACCACAGUUAUAGCCUCUGUGGUGCUUUGAAAGAAAAUGGCCCCCAAAAGGAGUGGCACUAUUAGGAGAUGUUGCCUUGGAGGAAGUGUGUCUCUGUGGAGGCAGGCUUUGAGUUGUUAUAUAUGCUGAAGCCACGCCCAGCGUUUUAGACCACUUCCUGUUGUCUGCAUAUCAAGAUAUAGGACUCCUAGCUACUUCUCCAGCAUCAUGUCUGCCUGCUUGCCACUAUGUCACACUAUGAUUAUAGUGGACUAAACCUUCGAAAGUGUAAGUCAGCUCCAAUUAAAUGUUUUCCUUUAUAAGAGUUGCCGUGGUCACGGUAUCUCUUCACAGCAAUAGGAACCCGAACUAAGACAGCCUCUGUUCAGUAAAAAUAAUGUUUGGAAGAAAUGUGAUCAGAAGCAUAUGCAAGGCACUGGCACCAAGAAAGGUACAAAGUGGUAGAUCAUUUUCUGAGAUGUAUUGAAGGAGAUGAAGAGAGAUGCUGGCCCAUGCAUAUUCAUGGGUUUAUAGAGACAGUGGAAGGGCUGAGGGACAAUCUUCAUGGAAAGUUAGAGGUGAGAAGGCUUGUUGAGAGUGAGGGAAAGGGGUUUCUAUUUGGGGUUGGGCUGAGUAAUAAAGCCAGUCAGGCUGUUGCA